UAGCCACACCAUGUUGAAAUACCAGUUCCCAUAUGAUCACUGAAGUUAAGCAACAUAGAGACUGGUCAAUACCUCGAUGGGUGACCGUUUGGGAAUACCAGGUGCUGUAA